AAUGACAAGAGGUAUGGUGCUCUGAAAACAUUAGGGGAGCGGAAGCAAACUUUUAACGAGUAGUAUUACAUUGAUAAUGCUUUUCUGCAACCUGUAUUGCUUUUCUUGGAGGCUGAGGAGCGACGCUUGAGGCAGAAGAAAGCAAAGGAAGAGUUUACAAAAAUGUUGGAAGAGUCAGAGGUACUUACAUCAUCGAUAAAAUGGAGUAAAGCUGUUACUAUGUUUGAAGAUGAUGAGCGGUUCAAAGCUGUCGAAAAGCCGAAAGAUCGGCAGGAGCUUUUCGAUAAUUACUUGGUGGAACUCCAAAAAAG